rnacentral:rRNA from 1 species
GACGAACGCUGGCGGCGCGCUUAACACAUGCAAGUCGAACGGAAAGGCCCUGCUUUUGUGGGGUGCUCGAGUGGCGAACGGGUGAGUAACGCGUGAGUAACCUGCCCUUGACUUUGGGAUAACUUCAGGAAACUGGGGCUAAUACCGGAUAGGAGCUCCUGCUGCAUGGUGGGAGUUGGAAAGUUUCGGCGGUUGGGGAUGGACUCGCGGCUUAUCAGCUUGUUGGUGGGGUAGUGGCUUACCAAGGCUUUGACGGGUAGCCGGCCUGAGAGGGUGACCGGCCACAUUGGGACUGAGAUACGGCCCAGACUCCUACGGGAGGCAGCAGUGGGGAAUAUUGCACAAUGGGCGGAAGCCUGAUGCAGCAACGCCGCGUGCGGGAUGACGGCCUUCGGGUUGUAAACCGCUUUCGCCUGUGACGAAGCGUGAGUGACGGUAAUGGGUAAAGAAGCACCGGCUAACUACGUG